UUCGUAGGCGGUUGCCUAAGUCUGAUGUUAAGUACUGGAGCUCAACUCCGGCAUGGCAUUGGAAACUGGGCGGCUAGAGUGUGGUAGAGGUCUCGGGAAUUCCAGGUGUAGCGGUGAAAUGCGUAGAUAUCUGGAGGAACACCGGUGGCGAAAGCGCGAGACUGGGCCAUAACUGACGCUGGGGAACGAAAGCUAGGGGAGCAAACA
rnacentral:rRNA from 1 species